rnacentral:rRNA from 1 species
GACGAGCGCUGGCGGCGCGCCUAACACAUGCAAGUCGAACGAGCGAGCGAGAGCUUGCUUUCUCGAGCGAGUGGCGAACGGGUGAGUAACGCGUGAGGAACCUGCCCCAAAGAGGGGGACAACAGUUGGAAACGACUGCUAAUACCGCAUAAGCCCACGGUGCCGCAUGGCACCGAGGGAAAAGGAGCAAUCCGCUUUGAGAUGGCCUCGCGUCCGAUUAGCUAGUUGGUGAGGUAAUGGCCCACCAAGGCGACGAUCGGUAGCCGGACUGAGAGGUUGAGCGGCCACAUUGGGACUGAGACACGGCCCAGACUCCUACGGGAGGCAGCAGUGGGGAAUAUUGCACAAUGGGGGAAACCCUGAUGCAGCGCCGGCGGGUGGAGGAAGAAGGUCGUCGGAUUGUAAACUCCUGUUGUUGGGGAAGAUAAUGACGGUACCCAACAAGGAAGUGACGGCUAACUACGUG